rnacentral:rRNA from 1 species
UCCGCAGGUGGCCAUUCAAGUCUGCAGUCAAAGGUCGGGCUCAACCCCGAAAAGGCUGUGGAAACUGAAGGGCUAGAGUACGGUAGGGGCAGAGGGAAUUCCCAGUGUAGCGGUGAAAUGCGUAGAGAUUGGGAAGAACACCGGUGGCGAAAGCGCUCUGCUAGGCCGAAACUGACACUGAGGGACGAAAGCUAGGGGAGCGAAAG